rnacentral:rRNA from 1 species
UGGGGAAUAUUGGACAAUGGGCGCAAGCCUGAUCCAGCCAUGCCGCGUGAGUGAUGAAGGCCUUAGGGUUGUAAAGCUCUUUCAGUAGGGAAGAUAAUGACGGUACCUACAGAAGAAGCCCCGGCUAGCUACGUGCCAGCAGCCGCGGUAAUAAUCACUAGUGAAUUCGCGGCCGCC